AUUGAACGCUGGCGGCAGGCUUAACACAUGCAAGUCGAGCGAGUGGCGGACGGGUGAGUAAUGUCUGGGAAACUGCCUGAUGGAGGGGGAUAACUACUGGAAACGGUAGCUAAUACCGCAUACCAUCGGAUGUGCCCAGCUGGGAUUAGCUAGUAGGUGGGGUAAGGGCUCACCUAGGCGACGAUCCCUAGCUGGUCUGAGAGGAUGACCAGCAACACUGGAACUGAGACACGGUCCAGACUCCGACGGGAGGCAGCAGGGGGGAAUAUUGCACAAUGGGCGCAAGCCUGAUGCAGCCAUGCCGCGUGUGUGAAGAAGGCCUUCGGGUUGUAAAGCACUUUCAGCGAGGAGGCGUUACUCGCAGAAGAAGCACCGGCUAACUCCGUGCCAGCAGCCGCGGUAAUUC
rnacentral:rRNA from 1 species